GACGAACGCUGGCGGCGUGCUUAACACAUGCAAGUCGAGCGGUAAGGCCCUUUCGGGGGUACGACGAGCGGCGAACGGGUGAGUAACACGUGGGUGACCUGCCCUCAGCUCUGGGAGUAAGCCUGGGAAACCGGGUCUAAUACUGGAUAUGACUCCAUGACGCAUGUUGUGGGGUGGGAAGCCUUGUGCGGCUGAGGAUGGGCCCGCGGCCUAUCAGCUUGUUGGUGGGGUGAUGGCCUACCAAGGCGACGACGGGUAGCCGGCCUGAGAGGGCGACCGGCCGACACUGGGACUGAGACACGGCCCAGACUCCUACGGGAGGCAGCAGUGGGGAAUCUUGCGCAAUGGGCGAAAGCCUGACGCAGCGACGCCGCGUGAGGGAUGACGGCCU
rnacentral:rRNA from 1 species